rnacentral:lncRNA from 1 species
CAAUGGACAAUCCUCCACCUCUGAGAAGCUUUCUAUGAUUACUUCAGAUGAAGACUCAGCAAGAACUUGGCACUCUGCAACCCAGAAGAGAGUUCUCGGCAGAAACCAAUCAUGCUGGCACUUGGAUCUAGGACUUCAAGCUUCCAGAAAUUUGUGGAAUAAGUCUCUGCUGUUUAUAAGCCACCAAGUCUAUGAUAAUGUGUCAGAGGACUGAGCUAAG